UCCUCACAUCUGCUAUGCUUCUGCCUUCCUACGCUGGCAGGAGCCGCUGAGAAGCUCAAAUGGAGUAAAGGAGGAGAACGAGAGGAAAGUCCAUACCCAAGUGCAAUCAAGAAUGGAAGAAUUGAAAGGGGAGAAAAAAACUAGGAAGGAAAGAAUAUAGAGACAGAAAAGAAAGCCGGAAAAAUCAAUAUGAAGUUAAGAAGUUACUGUUAUCUCAAAUUACAAGAGGUUACCUUUCCC
rnacentral:lncRNA from 1 species